rnacentral:ncRNA from 2 species
UCAAUUAAAUAUACUUUCACUUAUAUAUCGUCGAAAUAAGGUCGACAGUCUCUACCUGAUACCGUAAAUAUCAGACUAUAAGUUAAAAUAAGCGUGUG